rnacentral:rRNA from 1 species
CCUACGAGAGGCAGCAGUGGGGGAUAUUGCACAAUGGGGGAAACCCUGAUGCAGCAACGCCUCGUGUGGGAAGAAGGUUUUCGGAUUGUAAAACACUUUUCUUGGUGAAGCUAAUUACGGUAAGCAAGGCGAAAUCUCCGGCUACCUACGGGCAAGCAUCCGCGAUAAUACGUAUGGCGCCAGCGUUGUUCGGAAUGACUGGGCGUUAAGGGUGAGUAGGCGGUUGUACAAGUUAGAAGUGAAAUACGUAGGGCUUAACUCGGGUGCUGCUUCUAAAACUGUAUGACUUGAGUGGAGUGGAGGUUAGUGGAAUGCGUAGUGUAGCGGUGGAAUGCGUAGAUAUUAGGAGGAACACCAGAGGCGAAGGCGGCUAACUGGACUGCAACUGACGCUGAGGCACGAAAGUGUGGGGAGCAAACAGGAUUAGAUACCCGGGUAGUC